UUCCAUGCAGACAUGUCUUCUCUUAAAUUUGGGCCGGUUUUGCAGUCUUUCACCGUUGCUUUCAGUAUAUAUUUGAAUCUUUUACUUGAUGUGCCAACAUUACAUUUUCCAUUUGUAAACUCAGAAUGGAAGAUUGGCUUUGGCAAUCUACAACUUAUCAAUCUAACAUUCCAGCCCUAUGCAGUGUGAUUUACAUAAUAGAGGAUAGUUUUAUUUGCAUAUCUGUGCCCAUUAAUUAAUGUAUAUUUUACACACACAAGUUAUUUUAGAUUCCACUAUAUUUGUGUGUAUAUAACAUACUCUGACUGCAGUAUAUGGUAUUUAUACCUACUUUGUUUCAUAUCAAGCAAGAUUAUUUCCCCAAUGAUACUGGGAUCCUGUCUUCUUUCCUACUUAAACCUUAGGCUCUUUCUACUUCUACCCUCAAGCCAGUUGAUUCUAAGUUCAGCUUCUAUACCUUGAAUUUCCUCUCUAAGUCCACUAUAUGAGAAUUAGGUCAUCAGCAUAUAAGAGUUCCCAUGGACAUCAGCUCUCUCCUAUUCAACAUAAGCAGUCACUGAAGAUUGAGCUUUGAUAGACCUCUGUCAUCAUGUUAUGUUCUUGAGUUCAGUUGGCAUAUAUCUUGCUAAUUUAGACAUUUGCAGUAAACAUUCAUCUUGUUCACUAAAACUUCAUCAGGUUAUAAAGUCUUUAGAUAUAUCUCUUAACUAUUUUCUUCAUGUAUUUCUAUGCCUACUUUUGUAUAUAUAUACAUUUAUCUAUUUUUGUAGGAUACAAGCUUGCCUUCAACUACCUUAAAGCCAAACGCUAUACUGAAGCCAUUGAUAUUUGUAAUUUGGUACUGGCUUCUCAUCCAAAUUAUCCAAAAAUACAGAAAGAAAUCCUUACUAAAGCAAGAUCUAACUGGCGGACCUAGAAACUUAACUAUCAUCUUUGUAAAAUUAUCUAGUCUGGAAAUGUUUAUUUCUUCUUAAAAAGUGUUUGUUAAUAAAUCUAGUGUAAUAUAUUUUAUA